rnacentral:lncRNA from 1 species
GGGCUCCUGAACCCGCCAGCCCGCGAAUCCGUGGGAGCGUCCGCGGUCUGUGCGGCUGAGUGGUCCGGUACCUGUCCGUGGGUCCGCGGGUCGCGACGCGUCCUCUGCUUUAUGCAUCCAUGUGUGCGUAUCCACGUGUGUUUUGUGUUGCCUGUGUGUGUCAGAGCUUUGUGUGGCUAUGGGACAGCCUGUGCGUCUGGGUAACUCGGCGACUGUGCUGGGCGUCCCAGCGGGACGCUCUUGUGAAACUGUGUGUGUCCCUGGGGCCAUGUGUCCCUGGGUGACCGUGGUGUGUCUGUGUCUGUGUGUGUGUGUGUGUGUGGCGGUUGUGGGAUGGGAGUAUUGUUGGUGAGUGGGAAACUGUCGUGUGGCUGCGUCCCAGGAGACUGUAGGGUGUCGCUGUGUGCGUGUGACUUGGGCGCUGAGUGUCCCCGGGGAUGGCCCCCCUUCCCCAGUUCCUUUUUUCCUGGAGCCGGGGCUGCUGGGGGCGGGGCAGGCCCUUCCUCUGCCUUUGCAGAGUGCUUUCCCUCAUC